AUGGUUCGGUCGGUCGAGCCCGAGCCGUCCGAUGCGCUGAACACGGAUGGUGCAGCUCCAAACCAUUGCAAUGCCCGUGUGAUCGGUGACAAUGCCAAUGGAAAUGCUGCAACACUUGUUGAUGAACCAGACGAAGAUAUAUCAUCACAGCCAGUUGUCCCUUUUGUUGGAAUGAUUUUUGACAAUGUUGAAGAAGCUCAGCGUGUUUACAAUGAAUAUGCUUCGAAGAUGGGCUUUGGAACUCGCAUUGUGACGUCAAAGCAUAGUAGAAAAAAUAGCUUGGAACAGAAGCGCAUCCUAAUCUAUAGAGUUUUUGAGUGCAUACACUCACGGAAAGAUCCUUCUAAGAAUGUUGGUGGAAGCAUUUCUGACGCGGUUGCAACAAAUCAAAGUGAUGAUGUUGAUAUGAGCUAUGCUAGUAAUAAAAAAUCUCCAAGCAAACAAGCUGGCAUCUAUAUGGAUGUGAGCGACAAGAGGCGAAGAAACCGGUUGGAGCGGUAUGAUUGCAAGGCUCAUAUGGGUGUUAGCCUCAAAGAAGGUAGCUGGGUUGUGACAGUUUUUGAGGCCGAUCACACACACCAGCUGAUGUUGCAAAGGGGGCGUCGAAGAUUUUGCCGCUCUCACAAAAAGAUCCCCGAUACAGACAUGCAAUACAUCACUUCGCUGCACUAUCGCAACAUAUCAACGGCUAAUAUGAUGGACUUGCUUGGAGAUGCACGAUGUUGCGAUCCUAGGAGUUUGCCGUAUGUGAAGACUGAUGUGACAAAUGCAAGAGCAAAGCUGCGAAGGGGCUUGUCAGAGCGUGAUUUGAAGCUGACAAUCGAGUACUUUGAGAGAAGACAAGUGGAGAAUCCCAACUUCUUUUUCUCAAAGCUAGAAGAAGAUGGAGCUAUUAGAGCACUUUUCUGGGUUGAUGGGAGAACAAGGGCCUUGUAUCCAAAGUACAAAGAUUGUGUGUUUUUUGACACCACAUUCUGCACCAAUCGCUACAACUUGCCCUUUUCUCCGAUUGUUGGCAUUAACAACCACACACAUACUGUUUGCUUGGGGUGCGCUUUGUUGGCUGAUGAGACCAUCAAAACUUUUAAGUGGGUCUUCCAGCAAUGGAUGUUGGCAAUGAAUAACGAGCAUCCAUUGAACAUUAUGACUGAUCAAGACCAGGUAAUGGCUAAAGCCAUCUCAAUGGUAUUUCCACAUUCAACACACAGAUGUUGCAAGUGGUACGUCUUCCGGGUUGCAAGGACGAAACUAGGGAAGAUGUUGGGAAAGGAUGAGCCUUUUGCUGAAGCAUUCUAUGGUUGCAUCAAUGAUUCCGAUACCGUUGAGGAGUUUGAAGAACGGUGGAAGCAGAUGGUCGAGUCAUUUGGUGUGGCUGAUAAGAAACACCUGAAGAACAUGUGGGGCAGCAGGGAGAUGUGGGCUCCUGUGUACUUUAGGAAUAAGUUCUUCCCAUUCACAGGAACAACUGGGCGGUCCGAGGGCCUGAAUUCCUACUUCAAGACUUUAAAUCACCAUGGAGACUCGGUUUGGACAUUUGUCCAGCAGUUUGAGCUUUGCCAGGAACUAAUGCUUGAUCGUGAAGACAAUGCUGGCUUCAUCAAUGAAGCGACGAGGCCUCCGCUCUGGAGCAACUACAACAUUGAAAAGCAAGCUGCAGAUUUCUAUACCAGAGAGGGCAGUGUUGGGGUUGCUGCAAUAAAAGCUAGAGCAACUGAUGGGUUUGCAGGAGACUACGAAGGCCAAGGUCAUGCAGGACAUGAACACGUCUGA
rnacentral:rRNA from 1 species